rnacentral:rRNA from 1 species
CCUACGGGAGGCAGCAGUGGGGAAUAUUGCACAAUGGGGGAAACCCUGAUGCAGCGACGCCGCGUGAGUGAAGAAGUAUUUCGGUAUGUAAAGCUCUAUCAGCAGGGAAGAAAAUGACGGUACCUGAUGAAGAAGCCCCGGCUAACUACGGGCCAGCAGCCGCGGGAAUACGUAGGGGGCAAGCGUUAUCCGGAUUUACUGGGUGUAAAGGGGGCGUAGACGGGGAUGCAAGCCAGGAGUGAAAGGCCGGGGCUCAACCCCGGGACUGCUUUUGAAACUGGGUGGCUGGAGUGCAGGAGGGGUAAGUGGAAUUCCUGGUGUAGCGGUGAAAUGCGUAGAUAUCAGGAGGAACACCGGUGGCGAAGGCGGCUUACUGGACUGUAACUGACGUUGAGGCUCGAAAGCGUGGGGAGCAAACAGGAUUAGAUACCCGUGUAGUC